rnacentral:tRNA from 1 species
GGGAAGCUGGCUCAGUGGUAGAGUGCUUGCCUUGCAUGCAUGAGGUCCUGGGUUCAAUUCGUCAGUACCCA